AUCAUAAGGGUAAAACUCAAAUUUUUACAUAUUUAUGUGGUUGGGGUGUGAAAAGUUUUUUAAUGGAGAGUUGACAUUGUCCUAGAAAAUUCUUCCGUAUGUGGCUUUUAAAUGUAUGAUUAUAGGCCAGGAGCGGUGGCUCACGCCUGUAAUCCCAGCACUUUGGGAAGCCGAGGCAGGCAGAUCACUUGAAGUCAGGACUCAAGUGACUUGUCCGCCUCAGCCUCCCACCAAAGUGUUGAGAUUACAGGGGUGAGCCCCUGCACCUGACCCAUAGCAGUUUUUCAUUUAAAAAAAUUAUUGUAUACUGUUCCAUGAUAUGAAUAUGCCACAAUUCAUUUAUCCAUUAUUGUGGAUGGACAUUAGGUUGUUUCCAGUUUGGGGCUAUUAUGAAUAAAAUUGAUAUGAACCUUC
ensembl:lncRNA novel transcript